rnacentral:rRNA from 1 species
UCGCCCUUAGAGUUUGAUCCUGGCUCAAGAUGAACGCUGGCGGCGUGCCUAACACAUGCAAGUCGAGCGAAGCGCUAUACUUGAAUUCUUCGGAAGGAAAGUAUUGUGACUGAGCGGCGGACGGGUGAGUAACGCGUGGGUAACCUGCCUCAUACGGGGGGAUAACAGUUAGAAAUGACUGCUAAUUCCGCAUAAGACCACAGCACCGCAUGGUGCGGGGGUAAAAACUCCGGUGGUAUGAGAUGGACCCGCGUCUGAUUAGCUAGUUGGUAAGGUAAGGGCUUACCAAGGCGACGAUCAGUAGCCGACCUGAGAGGGUGACCGGCCACAUUGGGACUGAGACACGGCCCAAACUCCUACGGGAGGCAGCAGUGGGGAAUAUUGCACAAUGGGGGAAACCCUGAUGCAGCGACGCCGCGUGAGUGAUGAAGUAUUUCGGUAUGUAAAGCUCUAUCAGCAGGGAAGAAAAUGACGGUACCUGACUAAGAAGCACCGGCUAAAUACGUGCCAGCAGCCGCGGUAAUACGUAUGGUGCAAGCGUUAUCCGGAUUUACUGGGUGUAAAGGGAGCGUAGACGGAGAGGCAAGUCUGAUGUGAAAACCCGGGGCUCAACCCCGGGACUGCAUUGGAAACUGUUUUUCUAGAGUGUCGGAGAGGCAAGUGGAAUUCCUAGUGUAGCGGUGAAAUGCGUAGAUAUUAGGAGGAACACCAGUGGCGAAGGCGGCUUGCUGGACGAUGACUGACGUUGAGGCUCGAAAGCGUGGGGAGCAAACAGGAUUAGAUACCCUGGUAGUCCACGCCGUAAA